rnacentral:rRNA from 1 species
UACAGAGGGUGCAAGCGUUGUUCGGAAUCAUUGGGCGUAAAGCGCACGUAGGCGGCAUUGCAAGUCAGGUGUGAAAGCCUGGGGCUCAACCCCAGAAGUGCACUUGAAACUGCAGUGCUUGAAUGUCGGAGAGGGCAGUGGAAUUCCGAGUGUAGAGGUGAAAUUCGUAGAUAUUCGGAGGAACACCAGUGGCGAAGGCGACUGCCUGGACGAACAUUGACGCUGAGGUGCGAAAGCGUGGGGAGCAAAC